rnacentral:rRNA from 1 species
UACGUAGGGUGCGAGCGUUGUCCGGAAUUACUGGGCGUAAAGAGCUCGUAGGUGGUUUGUCGCGUUGUUCGUGAAAACUCACAGCUUAACUGUGGGCGUGCGGGCGAUACGGGCAGACUAGAGUACUGCAGGGGAGACUGGAAUUCCUGGUGUAGCGGUGGAUUGCGCAGAUAUCAGGAGGAACACCGGUGGCGAAGGCGGGUCUCUGGGCAGUAACUGACGCUGAGGAGCGAAAGCGUGGGGAGCGAACAGG